CAAAGCCUAAGACAUUUUUUCAGAGGGAAGAGAAAAAAGUGCUGCUCUGCUUUAUGAAGAGGCUCUGGUGAAACAGUACGAUGCAAACCUCAGCAGUAAAUGAGGGUUAAAGAGCUUGCGGGAGGUGAUGGGAAUGGUCCAUAGCUAAGAGCUCAACUUUCAACUGCUCUCUCUUUGUUUUAGCCAUGUUGCUCUCUAAAUGUACGUAGCAGUUCUGUGUCCCAAGAAGCUUAUGGUUAAGUGUUACAGGACGUUGAAAUACAAUGCUCAAAUAGCAGGACUGUUGUUUGACAGUGUUAACAUUGCUCAGUGUUGCAAGGCUCUUAGUGGAGAAAUGAAUAUUUGGAUAGUUUUCAUUCCUUUGACCAAAACAGGGGAAAACAGUGCUCCCCUUUGCCUCCUAUUCUGCCUCCCACAAAAAAAUGUUUAGCUAGAAUUUUUCUGAUGGCACCAAAGCCUGAUCUAUAGCACAUAAAAUAUGGCACUAUCAAAAUAUGAAUCGGUCAUGAAGCAUCCCGCUCCUGGCACACACACUGCGACAGUGACGCGAUUGCACUCCUCAGGUUCCAGAGGUUGCACAGGUUACAAGCAGAUAGUGGGCCGCAAUCUGUUGCUGUGGCUCAUGGGGAGGGUGAGCAGUCACAGGAACGAGGGUUCUCUAAGGCAGUAGGAAUGAGCAAAGUUCCGAUCCGGUGUCUGCAUCGUUAAGAGCUGAACGUUCUGCAGGCGAGUUCCUCCUGACUGUGAGCUCCCUGGAAGCUGAGACGUGGCCCAGAGGUGACCACUGGGAAUGAAAGUGGAGGUCUCAAAUUAGACUUCAGUCAAACAUCAACAGCUAGGAGACAAUGGAGAUCUUUUUUUCCUACCAGCAACACUGUGUUUGGGCCAGAUCACAGUACUGGACUGAAAUUCCUGUGGGAUUUUCUGGAGAACUUCAGCCUCCCGACCUCUUUUGCUGUUAUGCAUAAAACAAAGAACAUUUUUAUUUGUGGAACGUAUCAACUUGCUUAGAACAAUACCAGCAAAUGAGAACAUAGCCUUGUCUCCUUUUUUAAGUAAGUUUUCAAACCAGCAUGAUCUAAUCAUUCAUCCAACAAAAUCCAAAGGAAUCUGACACUCACUCCCUUGGCAGCAGGAUGGAGGGCUGAAUUAAAUGGGAAAGUCAGCUCUUGGCAACAGAGAAUUUCCUUUUGUGAGCAGUAUCAAACAUACAUGCUCACACCCUCAGCUCAUACAAAGGAGGUUUAGACUGCACCAGGAACCAUUUCUUCAUCAGGUUCACUCCAAUAGGGAAGACAAAAGGAGAAAAUGUUAAAUAAGGAGCAAGAUGCUAAAAAGUCUUAUAUUUAUCGCACUGGCCUCUACAGAUUUGGACAGAUAAACUCCUGUCAUCAAAUGCCUUGGUUAUCUGGAGGGGCUGAAGGCCAGCAGAAGCCACUGGCAUCAGACACAGGAACUGUUUGUGGGCAGGAGGCAGCGAGCUGGGAGCCAAGUGCAGCAGGGCACUCGCAGCCUGCAGCCCCACCUGCUUCCCCAGGCUGCUGCAGUGACUCCUCAGAGCAAAGCACUUCUUAAAGGCCGUUCAUGUAGUGCUGGAACAAGAGUGGGAAAUGCCUCGUCUCAGACUUCCUGUUGUCAAAGCGAAAAAUAACCACGUCUCCUCCUGCACCGGAGCUGGCACGGGCCCAGCCCACUCUUUGCUGUGGCACGGGGCCUUCAGACGGGCUCAGGGGGAGCAGGGUGGCACCGGUGUGGCACUGCUGGGAGCGCCGCCUCUGUGCUCUUCUGGGUCGUGUUCUAUCUGCAACUCCAAUAGCAGAGGAAUGGUGAGGGGAAGAGGCAGGUGCUGCACUGGGUUGAAGUCCAAAGAGCACCGCAUUCUCGUUAUGAGCACUGUGUUGCCAUCGUGGGUAAUUAUAAUCUGACAUCUCAAUUCCUUUUUUUUGAACCGCACGAAGGCGCUGAAGCCAGAGACUCUGUGGUGACAAUGCAGGAGAUGUCUGCUGUUCUUCCUGACUGCGUAUUUUAUCUUAUGGGGAUUCUAGGGUAUUGCUGUGGAAAUGCCAGAUAUUAAAACUUCAUUAUACUUCUGUUUGCAAAACAGAUCGUAUCUCCCUCCACACAGACAAUUACUCUGGCAGGCACAUUCUGGAAAAAUAACAGCCAAAAAGAAUGAAAACUCUUUUCAAUUGCUUUGUUGAAAAAGCAAAAUCUGCUGCAAGUUCUCUCAGCCAGCCCGAAUACCCUGCUCACGCACUCCUCCAACUGUAUGAAGUCAAGCUGCUUGUGCUUCCAAAACCUUUUUCCAGCUGUAGCUACAUCAUGAAGUUGGAUGUUUUCCUGAAACCCAUCCUGCAUGUGUGUCCUAAAACAUGAAGCAGGGCAGUGCAUUCCACGCUCACCCUCGGCAGCGCUGCACAGAGCACGUGCUGAAGUGAGAAGUGCUGGUCCCACUCAGCAAACAGAGGACUUGGAGGGUUGGCACUCAGGAUUCAGCGUAAAAACCUCAUGACAUUAACAGUUAACAAUGCAACACUGAUGAUUUCUGAUACCUUCUAGUCCCACAAAAAAAAAAAAAAAAAACAACCCCA